CUGCGAUAAGAGCAAACCCAGUGAGAACUGGGGACGCAAAGCCACGGGUCUUCAUUUAUUUAUAAGAUAGCCGGGUUACCGAA
rfam:Desulfosporosinus meridiei DSM 13257, complete genome.